rnacentral:rRNA from 1 species
AAGCGCUUGUGACCAGACUUGUGCCUAGUGAAUCAUCCAGCGUUCUCGCUGGUGCACUUUGCUUGGUUCAGGCCAGCAUCGGUUUUCCUAGGGAGAUAAAAGCUUUGGGAAUGUAGCUCUUCCGGGAGUGUUAUAGCCCAUCGCAGAAUAUCCUUGGGGGGACCGAGGUUCGCGCUCUGCAAGGAUGCUGGCGUAAUGGUCAUCAGCGA